rnacentral:rRNA from 1 species
UACGAAGGGGGCUAGCGUUGCUCGGAAUUACUGGGCGUAAAGCGCACGUAGGCGGCUUUCUAAGUCGGGGGGUGAAAUCCUGGAGCUCAACUCCAGAACUGCCUUUGAUACUGAAGAUCUUGAGUUCGGGAGAGGUGAGUGGAACUGCGAGUGUAGAGGUGAAAAUUCGUAGAUAUUCGCAAGAACACCAGUGGCGAAGGCGGCUCACUGGCCCGGUACUGACGCUGAG